UACGGAGGGGACUAGCGUUGUUCGGAAUUACUGGGCGUAAAGCGCACGUAGGCGGCUUUUUAAGUCAGGGGUGAAAUCCUGGAGCUCAACUCCAGAACUGCCUUUGAUACUGAGAAGCUUGAGUCCGGGAGAGGUGAGUGGAACUGCGAGUGUAGAGGUGAAAUUCGUAGAUAUUCGCAAGAACACCAGUGGCGAAGGCGGCUCACUGGCCCGGUACUGACGCUGAGGUGCGAAAGCGUGGGGAGCAAACAGG
rnacentral:rRNA from 1 species